AUGGCUUCCUUCCGACUUGAGGAGACGGUCCAGCCUCUGCGUGAUGUCGUUGACUCCAUGCAAGGUUGGAUGUUGCGGAUGGAGAGCUUCAUGGAGCGAGUUGAGGCUGCACUAGGAGGGCUCUCCUUGGCACCGCCUGUGUUGCAGAGUGCUCAUGUGUUGCGCCCUUUGGUUGUGCCUGAUGGCAGCUUCGAGGUUGAGAGGGGAGACGAGCUUCAUGGUUGCUUCUCCCCUCGUGCUAGAGCCAGCUCGCCGUCGUCGGCCUAUGAGGGUCUAGGCAAUGAUGUGGUUGUGACUCCGGUGUUGUAG
rnacentral:rRNA from 1 species